rnacentral:rRNA from 1 species
AUGGCCGCCUUCUUCCAGUUGAGAAGUCAAUGUCAUAGCUUCAUAGUAAAACAACCAAUCCCAAGAAAGUUGUGGACACCGCACGGCCGCACCGCGCACAACGGUGGAAACUCCAAGGUCAACCCCGUUAAUGAAAUAUUCGGUGCAACAUUGCUUAUAGAACACAACUCCUUUUUAGGUAGUAUGAUGAAGCCAAAGAAGAAUCGGCGGGAACUCUACUUGAACAUUCCAAGCUUUGAACUGCCAGAGCGGCCAUCCAAUUCAAGCUUCAGGUUAAACAUGUGUGACCUGGUCCGUUGGUAG